CGGGGUGUAGUCCAACGGUAAAGCACUUGCCUAGCACGCAUGAAGCCCUGGGUUCAAUCUCCAGUACCACAA
rnacentral:tRNA from 1 species